rnacentral:rRNA from 1 species
GAUGAACGCUGGCGGCGUGCCUAAUACAUGCAAGUCGAGCGAACAGACGAGGAGCUUGCUCCUCUGACGUUAGCGGCGGACGGGUGAGUAACACGUGGAUAACCUACCUAUAAGACUGGGAUAACUUCGGGAAACCGGAGCUAAUACCGGAUAAUAUAUUGAACCGCAUGGUUCAAUAGUGAAAGACGGUUUUGCUGUCACUUAUAGAUGGAUCCGCGCCGCAUUAGCUAGUUGGUAAGGUAACGGCUUACCAAGGCAACGAUGCGUAGCCGACCUGAGAGGGUGAUCGGCCACACUGGAACUGAGACACGGUCCAGACUCCGACGGGAGGCAGCAGUAGGGAAUCUUCCGCAAUGGGCGAAAGCCUGACGGAGCAACGCCGCGUGAGUGAUGAAGGUCUUCGGAUCGUAAAACGCUGUUAUUAGGGAAGAACAAAUGUGUAAGUAACUAUGCACGUCUUGACGGUACCUAAGCAGAAAGCCACGGCUAACUACGU